CUUUGAUAACUAACUCUGUCUAUAUAUGUGCCACUUUAUGCCAAACUAAUCAUCUCUCAACUCUCUAUAUAAGUAACAUCAAAUAGUAUUUAUAAGUCAUACUUCCUCCUUCAUCCUUCCAUUAAAUCAUCUUACUUCAAAUUAAUCGUACGUCGUAUUUUUUUGAUUAAACCAAGUUGCUUAUAAAUCCAAACAUUGAAGAAUGUUGCACCUACAAGAAAGGAAUGGAAACUGGCAAUGCAUCUUUGACCCCAAGGGAUCACCCAGAUGACAACACAAUCUUCACUUUCUUUGUCUAAUGAUCUACUCCAAACAAAAAACAUGACAAUUUCAGAUAUUACACAAGCUAAACAGGUGGGUGCAUGUGUUGUCUUGGCUAAAAUUAUUGACAUAGAUACCAAUAAGAAGUGGUGCUACGUUUCAUGUGAUAAAUGUUUCAAGAAGGUUGAACCUGUUUGUACAAAAUACUUUUGUGAAAAAUGUGAUACAUUAGUCGAAGCUACAAAAAGGUUUAUGGUGCACAUUCAUGUUAUGGAUGAUAGUGGGUCCUACUUUUGUGUUGUUUGAUGGAGUUAUUUCACAGCACUUUGGAAAGACUGCAAAAGAACAAAUGGGAAAGACCACAAAUGAUUAAUUGACACCUUACGUGAUAAGAAAAUGCUUUUCAAACUGAAGAUCAAUCAAAAAAAAUGUUGAACAGAGGUUUUAUACCUAUGCAGUCAAAAAGAUGUCCGAAUUGUAUUAUAUUGAGUGUCAUGCUGCUCCUCCGAAUGGUGAGGAAGAUGAUGUUGAUAUCAUAGGUCCUAUUACUCCCCAAACUGAUGAUAACAUUAAGCUUCUUGGUGAUGAAGCUAAUUCUAUUCCUAAAGAUACUCAUCCAUCCAAGUCUUUGAGAAAGAGAAACGCCGACUCAGAUGCAACAUAUAUUGACGUUGAUUGUCAAACUCGGUCGUCCACCACUAAAUUGCAGAAAGUUGUCAAAAUUAAGCAAGAACCUGAAGAUUGAUAUUUUAGCUCUUCUUAGUCUACACUACUUAGAUUUAUUUUGUGUCGUUUUUCUCUUUUACUCAAUAAGUACCUUCUUAAUUGUUAUUUGUUUUGGAAUUUAUCUGCUUCACAUUUGCUAAUUUGGUUGUUAUAACAUUUGGUACUUUGGUGCAUAUGUCAUACAUCCAAAAAUA